AGAAUCAACGCUGGCGGCGUGCCUAACACAUGCAAGUCGCACGAGAAAGGGGAGCAAUCCCUGAGUACAGUGGCGCACGGGUGAGUAACACGUGAAUGAUCUACCUCCGAGUGGGGAAUAACUGAGAGAAAUCUUAGCUAAUACCGCAUAAUACCCACGGGUCAAAGCAGUAAUGCGCUUGGAGAGGAGUUCGCGGCAGAUUAGCUAGUUGGCGGGGUAAUGGCCCACCAAGGCGAUGAUCGGUA
rnacentral:rRNA from 1 species